rfam:Arenibacter nanhaiticus strain CGMCC 1.8863 genome assembly, contig: Ga0066783_102
GUAGCAGGUCGCCUUAUCGCUGAAAAGCAAAUUUGUUUUGUAAUUCAGAGGAAAGUCCGGACACCAUAGUGCAGUAUAGCGGGUAACGCCCGUCCAUCGAGAGAUGAGGACAAGUGCAACAGAAAGCAGGUACAGGUAAUGCUGUAGUGAAACCAGGUAAACUCUAUACGGUGCAACGCCAUGUAAAUCAGUGUUUGAGGGUGCACGCCCGAGCUGAAGGGUAGGCGGUUAAAGCUAUUGGGUGACCAAUAGACGAGAUAAAUGAUAAGGACAUUCUUAUUUUUUUAGGGGCAAUUCUAAAAUAGUAAGGCUGAACAGAAUCCGGCUUAUGACCUGCUUUUUUU